ACGGGUGAGUAACACGUGAGCAACCUGCCUUUCAGAGGGGGAUAACGUUUGGAAACGAACGCUAAUACCGCAUAACGUAUUGGGACCGCAUGGUCCUGAUACCAAAGGAGCAAUCCGCUGAGAGAUGGGCUCGCGUCUGAUUAGAUAGUUGGCGGGGUAACGGCCCACCAAGUCGACGAUCAGUAGCCGGACUGAGAGGUUGACCGGCCACAUUGGGACUGAGACACGGCCCAGACUCCUACGGGAGGCAGCAUG
rnacentral:rRNA from 1 species